UCCUAUAUAUGUAGCUGUGAAACAAAUAUUCAACUACUCUGGAGAACAAAGGUAAAGCAGAUACUUAAAAACAUGAACCACAAACCCUGCUUACGUAAUGCUAGACUUAAAGCAUAACAAGAAUCAUUUACCAGCUUUUCUUUCACUUUUCACAACCAGUCAAAGAUCCUCACCUUGGCCUGCUUUGGGAGGGAAGGCUUGAAAGAUAUGAAAUGGCUGCAGAAGGUAAAACAUAUACUUAAAACAGAAUCACUUAAACCAAAAAAAAAAGAAAACGAAAAAGCUAAUUUCUUGUUCUUCAACAUCAAAUGUUGUAAUUUUUUGAACAUAUUAUUAUCAGAUGCCUAUACAUAUAUACAAAUCUGAGUACGAGUAACAUAAUAUGGAUACGAUGAAGCAUUGCACGAAAUAGAACGUGCAAAAUAGAAUAAUAAAACAAAAUCGAAGUAGAAAUCAUUUUCUGAACGAGACUUAAAUUUGCAUUUCUUUUUUCAUAUAAUUCUAGAAUUUUCCUAUCAACCAAAUAGAGACUUAAAAAGAAUCCAUUAUGAUAUAAUACUCUUUAAGAAUUGCAUGAACAAUUAGUAAACGAGAUAGUGACAAACAAACAGAAAAACACAGAAUUUCGAUCAAAAACCGAAAAUCAAAAGAAAAAUAAAAAAAACACUUUGAUCAAAAACAGCGAAACAAGCUUCGAUCUGCUAAAAAAUACACUUAAAAUCAAACAAAAAAAGCACGCACAGAUCAGUGAGAGCAGAGGUGACAUUUAGCAUAAACAGGGGCCAAAAUCUUUCUAACUAUGGACAAGAAACCGAUUCACAAAACUAUGGAGAAGAAAAUAUACCUUUCUAAAGCAAGUCUGUGAAGAAAGUCUGCCCAAGACAAGCCAAAC
rnacentral:lncRNA from 1 species